GGAUGUGAGGGCCAUCUGGCUGUGACAUCGUCACCCCAUUGAUCACCAGGGUUGAUUCGGCUGAUCUGGCUGGCUAGGUGGGUGUCCCCUUCCCGCCUCACCCCUCCACGUGCGUCCCUCCCAAAGCUGCGUGCUCUGUCGAAGAGGAUGACCUUCCCCGAUAGAGGAGGACCGUUCUUCGGUCAAGUGUAUACGAGUGGCUGCGCUCCCCUGCUAGAACCUCCAAACAAGCUCUCAGAGAGAUGCCUGGUAGCACUUCGUUACAGAGCUAUUUCUACCAUACAUAGAUAAUGGUGGAAUGCAAUAAAGUAAUUAGGAAGUGAUGAGUUUUCAGCAUUAUUACCUUUGUU
rnacentral:snRNA from 1 species